rnacentral:rRNA from 1 species
UGAGUUAUGUCAUGUUAUCGAUAUGUGAAUACAUAGCAUAUCAGAAGGCACACCCGGAGAACUGAAACAUCUUAGUACCCGGAGGAAGAGAAAGAAAAUUCGAUUCCCUUAGUAGCGGCGAGCGAAACGGGAAGAGCCCAAACCAACAAGCUUGCUUGUUGGGGUUGUAGGACACUCUAUACGGAGUUACAAAGGACGACAUUAGACGAAUCAUCUGGAAAGAUGAAUCAAAGAAGGUAAUAAUCCUGUAGUCGAAAAUGUUGUCUCUCUUGAGUGGAUCCUGAGUACGACGGAGCACGUGAAAUUCCGUCGGAAUCUGGGAGGACCAUCUCCUAAGGCUAAAUACUCUCUAGUGACCGAUAGUGAACCAGUACCGUGAGGGAAAGGUGAAAAGCACCCCGGAAGGGGAGUGAAAUAGAACCUGAAACCGUGUGCUUACAAGUAGUCAGAGCCCGUUAAUGGGUGAUGGCGUGCCUUUUGUAGAAUGAACCGGCGAGUUACGAUUUGAUGCAAGGUUAAGCAGUAAAUGUGGAGCCGUAGCGAAAGCGAGUCUGAAUAGGGCGUUUAGUAUUUGGUCGUAGACCCGAAACCAGGUGAUCUACCCUUGGUCAGGUUGAAGUUCAGGUAACACUGAAUGGAGGACCGAACCGACUUACGUUGAAAAGUGAGCGGAUGAACUGAGGGUAGCGGAGAAAUUCCAAUCGAACCUGGAGAUAGCUGGUUCUCUCCGAAAUAGCUUUAGGGCUAGCCUCAAGUGAUGAUUAUUGGAGGUAGAGCACUGUUUGGACGAGGGGCCCCUCUCGGGUUACCGAAUUCAGACAAACUCCGAAUGCCAAUUAAUUUAACUUGGGAGUCAGAACAUGGGUGAUAAGGUCCGUG